ACCCUAAUUAGGGGCGUAGUU
rnacentral:tRNA from 1 species